rnacentral:piRNA from 1 species
UAAGGAAGCAACUUAUCACAAGUGCAGAAG